UACGUAGGCAGCAAGCGUUGUUCGGAAUUACUGGGCGUAAAGAGUGUGUAGGCGGUGUUCCAAGUCUGUUGUGAAAUCUCCCGGCUUAACUGGGAGGGUGCGGCGGAAACUGGGAUGCUAGAGGAUGGGAGAGGUAAGCGGAAUUCCUGGUGUAGCGGUGAAAUGCGUAGAGUAUACGGGUGAGGAACACCUGUGGCGAAGGGCGGCCCCCAUGGAUUGGAUAC
rnacentral:rRNA from 1 species